GACCACAAUCAAGUUAAAAUGAUGGAGAUGGAGAAGCAGCAGCAGGGAGAGAGGGGGAAGACAUGCCCAGACGGCAGGCAGCACAGGUGUCAGGUAAGCGAAGCAAGGGAGCGGAAGGUGCCUCGCCACAAUCUCCGAUGGGUCCUUUUUCCUUCCUGUCCUCUAGAGCGGCGAGGCAUUCCUAGGCCUCUGCAAGAUUCGCUUUGUGGCCGCUGACAAUAAGGGGAGGCAGGUGGCUCCCAAGAUGGGCUUCCGCUUAGGACACGCCACUCAAGUGCCUAUGAGUCUGUAUCUCCAGGGCUCCCGUUUUCCUGCACACGCACAGCGUGUCUCCUCUCACGUGUGGGUCCCAACACGCACGGCCCUGCCCAUCUAUCCGCCUGCCAGGCUCCCGGAUGACUUUUGCUGUGGCCCAGCCUCACGGAGCAACACGCUGCCUUCCAGACGCGGGAGGAGGAUCCGAGUCAAUGACUUCCCCAAUCGCAGGGGACCUAAGGCUCCUCAAGGGCUCAGCUUGUGGACCCUGGAGAGCCUUGGCCCUCUCGCCAUGUUUGGGGACACACAUGUGGGCAGUGCCCUCCCCUCCUCAGCCAAGCCUUCACGGCACCAAGAGGAACAUGGGAUGGAGGACAGCAGAACCCGGGAUGGGCAGGCCCCGGUAAGGACCCCAAGCCCUUGGCUCUGCUGGGCUGUGGCCAUUAGAAAGAGGUGAGGAGUCCAGAGCUAGACAGCUGGACCAGGAGAAGUGCCCUGUGCAGCCAGAGAAGCUAGAGAAGCAGAGGUGCCUCCUCCACUACCCCCAGCACCCAACUCUCUCCCCUUCUACGAGGUUCUCGGCUCUCAUACGGAUCCAGAGCACUGAUUCCUGGUUUCCAGAGGAAGUUGGAUGAACAAACUGGUUGGAAGAGGCAAAACCUUUAUAGCAUGUACAAAAAGGCAGAGGUGGGGACCGUGGCUUAAAUCUGGUUUGCUCACGUCAAAAGAUUCCCGGGGAGCAGAAGGCAAAGGGGGGAGCCUGGACAGUCAAGAGGACCCAGUGCUGCUGUGCGUGAUUCUGGGCGCAGACCAGAAAGCCGGAUCUGGGGAUGGGCCUCCCCAGAGAAAGCAGGGGUGAGAAGGCACACACGGGGCGCAGAGAAGGCUCAAGGAGGAAGAAACAGAAUUGGAAAUGUCAUUCUGCCCUUUUGCUGACCCUCCAGGAGGCACAAGAAAUCUAGAACAGGAUAGGGGGGCUCCCCAAGAGCCGCCCAACUGGCAGGGAGCCGGACAGUCCUGGAAUGCCACAGAAAAUUCGAUAAGCUCCUCCUGGAGAAUGGAAGAACGCCGUCUGUUGGUACUUUGGAAAAAGCCCCUGCAGUUCCCACCACACCCACCCCCGGACUCCCACCCCUUUCAACUCCACAAUCCCCCCAAAACUUCCAACUUUGCUUCUCUGCCCUUCCGUCUGCCUCACCUUUCCUCCCUGGCUGUGUUGGGUGUUGGUGAGAUGUUGGGUUUUUUCUUUUUUGCAAUUUAUCAGCAGAUUGUGUGGAGCUGAGUGGCGUGAGCCUCACCCUGCUAAAUAAAGCUUUGGUAUUUCUGAUAAAGCCAUCAAAUUCCUUAUCACACUGACACAA